AUACGGGGGGUGCAGGCGUUAAUCGGAAUUACUGGGCGUAAAGCGCGCGUAGGCGGUUUGUUAAGUCGGAUGUGAAAUCCCCGGGCUCAACCUGGGAAUUGCAUUCGAUACUGGCAAGCUAGAGUAUGGUAGAGGGAAGUGGAAUUUCAGGUGUAGCGGUGAAAUGCGUAGAUAUCUGAAGGAACAUCAGUGGCGAAGGCGACUUCCUGGACCAAUACUGACGCUGAGGUGCGAAAGCGUGGGGAGCAAACAGGAUUAGAUACCCCUGUAGUCC
rnacentral:rRNA from 1 species